ACGCACGCUGGCGGCGUGCUUAACCCCUGCACGUCGAACGGAAAGGCCCUGCUUUUGUGGGGUGCUCGAGUGGCGAACGGGUGAGUAACACGUGAGUAACCUGCCCUUGACUUUGGGAUAACUUCAGGAAACUGGGGCUAAUACCGGAUAGGAGCUCCUGCUGCAUGGUGGGGGUUGGAAAGUUUCGGCGGUUGGGGAUGGACUCGCGGCUUAUCAGCUUGUUGGUGGGGUAGUGGCUUACCAAGGCUUUGACGGGUAGCCGGCCUGAGAGGGUGACCGGCCACAUUGGGACUGAGAUACGGCCCAGACUCCUACGGGAGGCAGCAGUGGGGAAUAUUGCACAAUGGGCGGAAGCCUGAUGCAGCAACGCCGCGUGCGGGAUGACGGCCUUCGGGCUGUAAACCGCUUUCGCCUGUGACGAAGCGUGAGUGACGGUAAUGGGUAAAGAAGCACCGGCUAACUACGUG
rnacentral:rRNA from 1 species